rnacentral:rRNA from 1 species
UACAGAGGGUGCGAGCGUUGUCCGGAAUUACUGGGCGUAAAGCGCGCGUAGGCGGCUUUUCAAGUCGAUUGUGAAAUCCCCGGGCUUAACCUGGGAACUGCAGUCGAGACUGUCUAGCUAGAGUAUGGGAGAGGGAAGUGGAAUUUCAGGUGUAGCGGUGAAAUGCGUAGAUAUCUGAAGGAACAUCAGUGGCGAAAGCGACUUCCUGGACCAAUACUGACGCUCAUGUGCGAAAGCGUGGGGAGCAAACAGG